AACGAACGCUGGCGGCAGGCUUAACACAUGCAAGUCGAACGCCCCGCAAGGGGAGUGGCAGACGGGUGAGUAACGCGUGGGAACAUACCCCUUCCUGCGGAAUAGCUCCGGGAAACUGGAAUUAAUACCGCAUACGCCCUACGGGGGAAAGAUUUAUCGGGGAAGGAUUGGCCCGCGUUGGAUUAGCUAGUUGGUGGGGUAAAGGCCUACCAAGGCGACGAUCCAUAGCUGGUCUGAGAGGAUGAUCAGCCACAUUGGGACUGAGACACGGCCCAAACUCCUACGGGAGGCAGCAGUGGGGAAUAUUGGACAAUGGGCGCAAGCCUGAUCCAGCCAUGCCGCGUGAGUGAUGAAGGCCUUAGGGUUGUAAAGCUCUUUCACCGAUGAAGAUAAUGACGGUAGUCGGAGAAGAAGCCCCGGCUAACUUCGUGCCAGCAGCCGCCGCAGUAA
rnacentral:rRNA from 1 species